rnacentral:pre_miRNA from 1 species
CGGCGCAUCAUUUUGACUCAUUUUUUGCUUCAUUAAAGUUAGUCAUCAGGAUGCGUCGUU